UCUUAUCUUCUCUUCCACAUAUCUCUGCAAAGAGCUGAUCUUUUUCGAAUCGAAGAGCAGCUCAAUGUUUUUCCUUUUCUUCUCCUCCUUUCCUAAUUUUGCAUCCUUUAUUUAUUCUUUCUUUUUCCUUUUUCCUCUUUCGUUCUUCCCCUUCUCUCUUUCUUUAUGCCUCUUUCAGAUCUGUAUUUUUUUUUAGCUAAGUAAGAUCUGUGAAUCGCUCAAAACAUCACCACCACUCACUCAACUCUUUGCACGACUGCCGUCUCUACCGCAACCUUUUCACUGCCACCGUCACAAUCGCAACUUCUCUUAUCGCCAACU
rnacentral:lncRNA from 1 species